AACCCUUCAUAUUUUACAGGCCAGAACUUCAGACGCUACAACCAACAAAUAUCAUUCCGGGAUUAGAAAGGUGAUCUUCCUGCUCCAGUCUUCCCCAUUUGGGGCACAUCUGGAGGGGUUCUGUCCAUCUCAGGACACUGAGAAGGUGGAGCACAGCUGUAAGAGGACAGCUCGGUUGAUAAAGGAUUGCUAAGUCAUACUGAUGAGGAGAAGGGAAAGGAAUGGGAGUGUUGAGCCUAGAAAAGAGAAGACCCAGAAUGUGCCCAAGGUCCACCGAAUGUGCCAGGAACAGAUGCCAGUGGGGUGCACAGAUUGUCUCCUGGUUUCCUCUCCCUUUCACCAGAGAGCCAUCCCCUUUAACGAAUAGGAUCUUGUAAAGGAAAAAGUCUUCAAAACAGUGCCAUGUGCAACCCCUGAGGACCUCCCACUUCUGUGAAGAGGAGCACUGGGGGACAGGGGUCUCCUCAUGCAUCUUCGUUCCAGUCCUGCUGAAUUUUUAUAUUUUGGCUACACUCACUCUUGGCUUUUGUGGUGUGGGCUUGCUCUGCCUGUGUACAUCUGUCCAGGUUUCUUGGUAUUCAUCCCAGAACAAUAAUAUUCUAUUGCAACCAUGUGACACCACUUGGAUCGCUGCUCCCUGAUCAGGACCAUUUUUGAUUUUGUAUCACCUUCAUUUCUUACGAUAUCCCUCCUCUCCUCUAGGUACCAAGCUAUGGCUUGUAACAAAGAUUAAAAAAGAGAGAAGUCACUUGAGCAAAACCAGCUGAUUUAUAUGUCAGCCAUGACUAGAAGCAGAGGGCACACUACUUUUUAUUAGGGGAUUUAAAAAAAAAACCUCACUAAAAGAUCAAUUAUAGAAAAAGAAAUUUAAGAUACAGAAAUUCUAUUUAAGACUCCAGAUGUUAUUAAAGUAAUGCAGGCUUUCCAGGCA